rnacentral:rRNA from 1 species
UACGUAGGUGGCAAGCGUUGUCCGGAUUUAUUGGGUUUAAAGGGUGCGUAGGCGGCCCUGUAAGUCAGUGCUGAAAUAUCCCAGCUUAACUGGGAGGGUGGCAUUGAUACUGCGGGGCUAGAGUACAGAUGAGGUAGGCGGAAUUGACGGUGUAGCGGUGAAAUGCUUAGAUAUCGGCAAGAACACCUAUAGCGAAGGCAGCUUGCUGCACAAUCAUUGACACUGAGGCACGAAAGCGUGGGGAGCAAACAGG